UAAGCUUUAGUUUAUAUAGAAUUUUUGAUUGUUAAUCAAAUAGAGGCAUAUGGUAGCCAGGCUUAA
rnacentral:tRNA from 2 species